UACGUAGGGUGCGAGCGUUGUCCGGAAUUAUUGGGCGUAAAGAGCUCGUAGGCGGUGUGUCGCGUCGGCCGUGAAAACCUGCAGCUUAACUGUGGGCGUGCGGUCGAUACGGGCAUCACUGGAGUUCGGCAGGGGAGACUGGAAUUCCUGGUGUAGCGGUGAAAUGCGCAGAUAUCAGGAGGAAACACCGGUGGCGAAGGCGGGGUCUCUGGGCCGAGUAACUGACGCUGGAGGAGCGAAAGCGUGGGGAGCGAACAGG
rnacentral:rRNA from 1 species